rnacentral:rRNA from 1 species
ACGGGAGGCAGCAGUGGGGGAUAUUGCACAAUGGGGGAAACCCUGAUGCAGCGACGCCGCGUGAGUGAAGAGGUAUUUCGGUAUGUAAAGCUCUAUCAGCAGGAAAGAUAAUGACGGUACCUGACUAAGAAGCACCGGCUAAAUACGUGCCAGCAGCCGCGGUAGUACGUAUGGUGCAAGCGUUAUCCGGAUUUACUGGGUGUAAAGGGAGCGUAGACGGCAUGGCAAGCCAGAUGUGAAAGGCAGGGGCUCAACUCCUGGACUGCAUUUGGAACUGUCAAGCUAGAGUAUCGGAGAGGUAAGUGGAAUUCCUAGUGUAGCGGUGAAAUGCGUAGAUAUUAGGAGGAACACCAGUGGCGAAGGCGGCUUGCUGGACGAUAACUGACGUUGAGGCUCGAAAGCGUGGGGAGCAAACAGGAUUAGAUACCCUGGUA